UACGAAGGGGGCUAGCGUUGCUCGGAAUCACUGGGCGUAAAGCGCACGUAGGCGGAUUGCUAAGUCAGGGGUGAAAUCCUGGAGCUCAACUCCAGAACUGCCUUUGAUACUGGCGAUCUUGAGUCCGGGAGAGGUGAGUGGAACUGCGAGUGUAGAGGUGAAAUUCGUAGAUAUUCGCAAGAACACCAGUGGCGAAGGCGGCUCACUGGCCCGGUACUGACGCUGAGGUGCGAAGGCGUGGGGAGCAAACAGG
rnacentral:rRNA from 1 species